rnacentral:lncRNA from 1 species
GCUUCUGUCCUGGUAGUUUUCAACGGGGAGGACAAGGAACCUGAACAAAGCUGCGGAAAGUGAUGCUCCCUUCCGGCUGAUGGAGUGCUGAGGAGAGUUCGACCAAGGUGUGCCUGGACCCAUCCCACAACACAGUUGCAAGCUGAGCUCUAGGUGGCUGCAUGGAUGUCUCACCAACCUGCCAUUUGAAAGCAACACGUUAUCUAAAAUGGAGCUGGUGGCACUUGGUUAUCUCACAGGAUGAGCUCAAAUGGGUGCAUUCAGGUUAGUCAAGCUCUUGG